ensembl:lncRNA
GCGGAGAUGCUGAGCUCAGCGCUACGGCCGUUGGGCUGCUGGGUGGGGGCAGGGCGAGGGGCCGGCCCCUCUCUCGCCUCCGGCAGGAACCAACCACAGUGAACCAGCCAUGGUGGCAUCUUGAUCUUGGGCUUCUGGACUUCAAAACUAUGAGUUUACAGGCUCAGCUCCAGCCACACCAGAUGACUUUCGGAGUUCCACGAAUGCAGCCCUGCCUAUGCGCGUGCUAGUCCCUGUACUUGGAAUGCUUCUCUGGCAUCUUCCCCUCUGACCCCGACUGACCAGUCCGCUCAGGCCCAGGCUCACCUUCCCUAGGAAAAUGUCAUCUCCCCUUCCUUCCCACCACCAAGCCCUCUUGGCUUCCACAGCACCCCGUAUAGACCAGAGUCAUGGAGUUAUGGUGCUGUACAGAUUCCGUGUUUCUGUUGACUUCUCUGCUUUUU